CUAAUUUAUCAAGGUUGACCUCGGAUCAGGUAGGAAUACCCG
rnacentral:rRNA from 1 species